rnacentral:ncRNA from 2 species
AGGUGAGGUAGAGGUCGCGGUUACGAUUAGUAAACCGGAAGAGGCAUAAGAGCUGCCGUUUGGAUUCCGUGUUGAAAGGCGUACCCGCCGAAAUCUGUUUGAGUACUGCUCUAUGAAACGUACUCCAGGUUGGGGCUGCUAGAUCCGAAAGGAGCAGAACUGUCAUAGCGUAAGCUAUGUUGAGCUAUCUUAACG